AUGACCACAUCACUUAUGAAAGAACGAAAGAUGAUAAACCAAAAGAAAGACUUGAAAGAAAUAUUCGAAGCUACAAAAGAUACCGCUGAGAAAGAAAAAGACACACCUGAACACACGGGAUGUGGCAGAGAGAAGAAUGAAGAAGUCCACAGUGUUGUACCCCUGAUGAGUGGGGCCGAGCAACCCAGCGAGUUUAUGUUCUCUUUUUUUGAUUCAGACUCUAAAAAUGUAAAAGAAGAAACCUAUAAAGUUGAAACAGUGAAACCUGGGAAUAUUGUCUGGCAAGAAGAUCCUCGGUUCCAAGACAGCAGUUCAGAAGAGGAAGAUGUUACUGAAGAAACAGAUCACAAAAAGCUCAGCCCUGAAGAAGCAUCAUUUCCUGAAAAAGAGACCACUAGAUUUUUCUUUUUCUCUAAGAAUGAUGAAAGACUUCAUGGUUCUGACUUAUUCUGGAGAGGUGUGGGAAGUAAUAUUAGCAAGAAUUCUUGGGAGGCUCGAACAAACAGCUUGCUUAUGGAUUGUCGGAAGAAACAUGAAGCAAAAAGGAAAGUUAAACCAAAAUAAUAAAUAUCAGCAUUGGUUUUGAAACUGAACGGAAACAAGGCUUACCAGGAAAUUGACCUAAAAAUAAUUUUAGCCGACAAAGAGGACAUUUCAGAGCAGAGAAUAUUCAAAAUCUGGCUGGUGGAAUACCAUUCUGGUCAUCUUUAAAAAAAAUAAAAAUAAAAGAAUAAAAGUGGCUCUCCAGGCCCGGGGAUUUAACUCAGUGGUUUCGCUGGCUGCUGCUGAAGCACAAGGACCCGAGUUCAAUCCCUGGUACCAAAAAAAAAAACCUUGAGAUUACUGAUAGCAUGCUUUUGAGAUUUCCCAUAUAAAUAAAUCAUUAUCUCAUUAAGAGUGGGCCAUCCUCUCCCACCCACUAAGACUACUAAAACUAAGACUAAAGACAAGAUUAAGACUAUAGAUUAUUGAUCAAGGUUAAUGAUCUCAUCUAUAUGGCU
rnacentral:lncRNA from 1 species